rnacentral:rRNA from 1 species
UACGUAGGGGGCAAGCGUUGUCCGGAUUUAUUGGGCGUAAAGAGCGUGUAGGCGGCCAGAUAGGUCAGCUGUGAAAACUCGAGGCUCAACCUCGAGACGUCGGUUGAAACCAUCUGGCUAGAGUCCGGAAGAGGAGAGUGGAAUUCCCGGUGUAGCGGUGAAAUGCGCAGAUAUCGGGAGGAACACCGGUGGCGAAGGCGGUUCUCUGGGCCUGACCUGACGCUGAGGAGCGAAAGCGUGGGGAGCGAACAGG